GCUGGCAUAGCUCAAUUGGUAGAGCAACUGACUUGUAAUCAGUAGGUUUCGGGUUCGAUUCCUGAUGCCAGCACCA
rnacentral:tRNA from 2 species